AUUUGGAUAGCUUAAAAUUUUAAAGUUUAACUCUGAAGAAGUUAUGAUAGAAGGAAUUCUUCCAAAUG
rnacentral:tRNA from 1 species